UUGACCCCCGUUUGGCGCAGUUACCGUUAAAUGCCCCCUGGGGGAUUCCGUCGGAAGGUUAAACCCAAAAGGAAUGGCGGGGGCCGCCCAACGGUUGGACCAUGUUGUUUAUUUGGCGCCACGCGAAGAACCUUCCCGGUUCUGACAUCCCAAGAACCCGCUGGAAACAUGGGGGUCCCUCGGGGAACCUGGUGACGGGUGCUGCAUGGCUGUCGUCAGCUCGUGUCGUGAGAUGUUGGGUUAAGUCCCGCAACGAGCGCAACCCCCUGUCGUUAGUUGCCAUCAUUAAGUUGGGCACUCUAGCGAGACUGCCGGUGUUAAACCGGAGGAAGGUGGGGAUGACGUCAAGUCCUCAUGGCCCUUACGAUCGGGGCUACACACGUGCUACAAUGACUGGUACAGACGUCCCGAGCCCGCGAGGGGGAGCCAAUCGCAAAAAACCAGCCUCAGUUCGGAUUGGAGUCUGCAACUCGACUCCAUGAAGUCGGAAUCGCUAGUAAUCGUGGAUCAGCACGCCACGGUGAAUACGUUCCCGGGCCUUGUACACACCGCCCGUCACACCAUGGGAGUUGUUUGGACCCGAAGUCGCUGAGCC
rnacentral:rRNA from 1 species